UGUGGGUGGGACCACAUAAGGGAAUAAAAGCAGGCUGCCAGAGCUAGCAGUGGCAACCUGCUCAGUUUCUCUCUGCAGUGUGGAAGGUUUGUUCUUUUGCUGUUUGCGGUAAAUCUUGCUGCUGCUCACUGUUUUGGUUUGCAUUCCCUUUAUGAGCUGUGACACUCACCGCAAAGGUCUGCAGUUUCACUCCUGAGGCCAGUGCGACCACGAACCCACAGGGAGGAAUGAACAACUCCCGACAGGAGGAAUGAACAAUUCCAGACGCGCGCCGCCUUAAGAGCUGUAACACUCACCACGAAAGUCUGCAGCUUCACUCCUGAAGCUAGCAAGACCACGAACCCACUAGAAGGAAAAAACUCUGAACGCGUCUGAACAUCAGAAGGAGAAAACUUCGGACACACCGUCUUUAAGAACUGGAACACUUAUACCAUGAGGGUCUGCGGCUUCAUUCUUGAGCCAUUCAACAUAGUGCAUCAGAAGUGAUCUUUCAACACAUCCAGUACAUGAAUAAAUGAAAAACGCAAGUUACAAAACAUUACAGAGGUAAAAUCAUAAAUAUAGUCCCUGAAUUUCAUGGCCACCUGACCUUCACAUGAAGCUCAUAUUAAAGCCAUCUAUAGAGCAUGUUUUCCUGAAAACUUGACAAGAACCAACACCAAGGUCUCCAUUUGGAACCAGAACCUAAACUACGGUGUAGGAGACAUGGGGGAAGGAUCAUCUAGGUUGUUGACUUGGGGAAGAUAAGCUACUCACAGGUCCCUAACUCAUCAUUGUUUCCUAGUAACAACAAUUGCUUGAAAAUCAGAGUCUCGCUUUGCUGCCCAGGCUGUAGUGCAGUGGUGUGAUCUCAGCUCACUGCAAGCUCUGCCUCCCAGGUUCACACCAUUCUCCUGCCUCAGCUUCCUGAGGAGCUGGGACUACAGGUGCACGCCACCACACCCAGCUAAUUUCUUGAAUUUUUAGUAGAGACGGGGUUUCACCGUGUUAUCCAGGAUGGUCUUGAUCUCCUGACCUCCUGAUCCUCCCACCUUGGCCUCCCAAAGUGCUGGGAUUACAGGCUUGAGCCACUGCGCCCGGCUCAUUCAUCUUCCUUAUUUCCCUCAACCUGCUGUCUCUCUUUUUCUGUCAUUCCCUUCUGCUUUUUCCCAGUCCAGGUUUGAAUACCCGCCUCCAAGUGAUAGGAAAGAACAGCCAAGUUUGAAUGCACACUGAUGUUUCAGGACCAUGGACAGUAGCAUCGGUUGCCCAGGAAAGUACAAAUGGUAUAUCAUUAUUUUAAAAGUUAUUUUAUUUUAAAAGUCAUUUAUAAAUUUGUCUAUUUUCUUUGAGCCUCUUUCUUUACACAUGACCUGCUCUCCCAAACCAACCCUCUCUGGUUUCAAAUACCCCAUUACUAAUUGAUCAAUUGUUCAAAGACAUUCGGCGAGGGCAUGCUGGCUCACGCCUGUAAUUCCAGGACAUUGGGAGGCCGAGGUGGGCAGAUCACGUGGGCAGGAGAUCGAGACCAUCCUCGCCAACAUGGUGAAACCCUGUCUCUACUGAAAAUACAGAAGUUAUCUGGGCGUGGUGGCGUG
rnacentral:lncRNA from 1 species